AUACGGAGGAUCCGAGCGUUAUCCGGAUUUAUUGGGUUUAAAGGGUGCGCAGGCGGCCAUUUAAGUCAGCGGUUAAAUCGUGGGGCUCAACCCCAUUCUGCCGUUGAUACUGGGUGGCUUGAUUGCGGUCGAGGUUGGCGGAAUUCGUUGUGUUGCGGUGAAAUGCAUAGAUAUGACGAAGAACACCGAUUGCGUAGGCAGCUGACCAGACCGCAAAUGACGCUCAUGCACGAAAGUGCGGGGAUCGAACAGGAUUAGAUACCCUGGUAGUCCGCACAGUAAACGAUGAAUACUUGUUUUCGGCGAUAUAAUGUCGGAGGCAAAGCGAAAGCGAUAAGUAUUCCACCUGGGGAGUACGCCGGCAACGGUGAAACUUAAAGGAAUUGACGGGG
rnacentral:rRNA from 1 species